UACGAGAGGCCCAAACGUUAUUCGGAUUUACUGGGCUUAAAGAGUUCGUAGGCGGUUCGACAAGUGAGGUGUGAAAUCCCUCGGCUUAACCGAGGAAUUGCGCUUCAAACUGUCGGGCUCGAGGGAGAUAGAGGUGAGCGGAACUGAUGGUGGAGCGGUGAAAUGCGUAGAGAUCCGGAAGAACACCGGAGGCGAAGGCGGCUUGCUGGGCUCGGUCUGACGCUGAGGCGCGAAAGCGUGGGGAGCGAACAGG
rnacentral:rRNA from 1 species